rnacentral:misc_RNA from 1 species
GAUGAAGAACGUAGCGAAAUGCGAUAAGUAAUGUGAAUUGCAGAAUUCAGUGAAUCAUCGAAUCUUUGAACGCACAUUGCGCCCCUUGGUAUUCCGAGGGGCAUGCCUGUUCGAGCGUCAUUAUAACCCCUCAAGCUCAGCUUGGUGUUGGGGCCUGCUGCACUGGCAGCCCUUAAAAUCAGUGGCGGCGCCAUCUGGCUCUAAGCGUAGUAAUUCUUCUCGCUAUGGAGUCCUGUGGAUGCUUGCCAUCAACCCCCAAUUUUUCUAUGGUUGACCUCGGAUCAGGUAGGGAUACCCGCUGAACUUAAGCAUAUCAAUAAGCGGAGGA